rnacentral:rRNA from 1 species
GAUGAACGCUGGCGGCGUGCCUAAUACAUGCAAGUCGAGCGAACGGACGAGAAGCUUGCUUCUCUGAUGUUAGCGGCGGACGGGUGAGUAACACGUGGAUAACCUACCUAUAAGACUGGGAUAACUUCGGGAAACCGGAGCUAAUACCGGAUAAUAUUUUGAACCGCAUGGUUCAAAAGUGAAAGACGGUCUUGCUGUCACUUAUAGAUGGAUCCGCGCUGCAUUAGCUAGUUGGUAAGGCAACGGCUUACCAAGGCAACGACGCAUAGCCGACCUGAGAGGGUGAUCGGCCACACUGGAACUGAGACACGGUCCAGACUCCUACGGGAGGCAGCAGUAGGGAAUCUUCCGCAAUGGGCGAAAGCCUGACGGAGCAACGCCGCGUGAGUGAUGAAGGUCUUCGGAUCGUAAAACUCUGUUAUUAGGGAAGAACAUAUGUGUAAGUAACUGUGCACAUCUUGACGGUACCUAAUCAGAAAGCCACGGCUAACUACGUGCCAGCAGCCGCGGUAAUACGUAGGUGGCAAGCGUUAUCCGGAAUUAUUGGGCGUAAAGCGCGCGUAGGCGGUUUUUUAAGUCUGAUGUGAAAGCCCACGGCUCAACCGUGGAGGGUCAUUGGAAACUGGAAAACUUGAGUGCAGAAGAGGAAAGUGGAAUUCCAUGUGUAGCGGUGAAAUGCGCAGAGAUAUGGAGGAACACCAGUGGCGAAGGCGACUUUCUGGUCUGUAACUGACGCUGAUGUGCGAAAGCGUGGGGAUCAAACAGGAUUAGAUACCCUGGUAGUCCACGCCGUAAACGAUGAGUGCUAAGUGUUAGGGGGUUUCCGCCCCUUAGUGCUGCAGCUAACGCAUUAAGCACUCCGCCUGGGGAGUACGACCGCAAGGUUGAAACUCAAAGGAAUUGACGGGGACCCGCACAAGCGGUGGAGCAUGUGGUUUAAUUCGAAGCAACGCGAAGAACCUUACCAAAUCUUGACAUCCUUUGACAACUCUAGAGAUAGAGCUUUCCCCUUCGGGGGACAAAGUGACAGGUGGUGCAUGGUUGUCGUCAGCUCGUGUCGUGAGAUGUUGGGUUAAGUCCCGCAACGAGCGCAACCCUUAAGCUUAGUUGCCAUCAUUAAGUUGGGCACUCUAAGUUGACUGCCGGUGACAAACCGGAGGAAGGUGGGGAUGACGUCAAAUCAUCAUGCCCCUUAUGAUUUGGGCUACACACGUGCUACAAUGGACAAUACAAAGGGCAGCGAAACCGCGAGGUCAAGCAAAUCCCAUAAAGUUGUUCUCAGUUCGGAUUGUAGUCUGCAACUCGACUACAUGAAGCUGGAAUCGCUAGUAAUCGUAGAUCAGCAUGCUACGGUGAAUACGUUCCCGGGUCU